AGUGAACGCUGGCGGUAGGCCUAACACAUGCAAGUCGAACGGCAGCACAGUAAGCGCUUGCUCUUACGGGUGGCGAGGGGCGGACGGGUGACGCGUACAUCGGCAUCUACUUAUUCGGGGGGGAUAACGGGGGGACACUGACGAUAAUACCGCAUAUUACCAACGGGAGGAAGCAAGAGAGCAUCACAGCUUGCGUGUCUGAAAGAGACGAUGUCGGAUUAGCUAGUUGGCGGGGUAACGGCACACCAAGGCAACGAUACGUAGCAGGUCUGAGAGGAUGAUCGGCCACACUGGAACUGAGACACGGUCCAGACUCCUACGGGAGGCAGCAGUGGGGAAUCUUGGACAAUGGGCGCAAGCCUGAUCCAGCCAUACCGCGUGGGUGAAGAAGGCCUUCGGGUCGUAAAGCCCUGUUGUUGGGAAAGAACAGCAGCAGGUUAAUCCCCGGCUGUCUUGACGGUACCUAAAGAAUAAGCCCCGGCUAACUUCGUG
rnacentral:rRNA from 1 species